GACGAACGCUGGCGGCGUGCCUAAUGCAUGCAAGUCGCACGGUUGGCCUUCGGGCCAACAGUGGCGGACGGCUGAGGAACACGUGGGAAUGUGCCCGACUGUGGGGGACAACACGGCGAAAGUCGUGCUAAUCCCGCAUACGAUCACCUUCGGGUGAGGAAAGCAGCAAUGCGCAGACGGAGCGGCCCGCGGCCCAUCAGGUUGUUGGCGGGGUAACGGCCCACCAAGCCCGUGACGGGUAGCUGGUCUGUGAGGACAACCAGCCAGACUGGGACUGAGACACGGCCCAGACUCCUACGGGAGGCAGCAGCAAGGAAUUUUCGGCAAUGGGGGCAACCCUGACCGAGCAACGCCGCGUGGAGGAUGACGGCCUUCGGGUUGUAAACUCCUUUUCCGGGGGAAGAGAAUGACGGUACCCCGGGAAUCAGGCUCGGCUAACUCUGUGC
rnacentral:rRNA from 1 species